rnacentral:lncRNA from 12 species
GUGGUUUCUAAUUUCUGACAUUAUCUUUUCAUCUGGAUAUCUCUUUUGUAGUGUGAUAUUCAUAUUCAUAACUGAACUCAGUAUGCCAAGGGUGAUGUGAAUAAUACUGAAUAAAGAUAUAUUUUUGUUCAGUGAAUCUCAAGUGGAGGAACAUUUCUUUCCCCACUGCCAGAGCCUCUAUUAUUGUUCUUUUAAAUUUUACAGCCAUCACGCUGACCUCUCCAGUGUUGAGAAUCACUAUGUAAUGAAAGUCAAUACUGACAGAAUUGUGUUGCCUGACAACAAAAGAACUUGCUCAGAUAUUUGAAUUUUAAUCGGUAGGUAUGUAUGUGGUUUUCCUGCCUCAUAGCAUUCCAGAAUUUGCAAACUGAAGCAAAGUGGAAGGAAAAGCUCUGAUAGAGAAGGACAUCUAACAAUAACAGAAGUGAUAACAGACAAUGGAGCUCAAGGAAGAAAAUAAGAUUAAAAGGUGUACAGAUAUAUAAAUAUGUCUUAGCUCCAUAUUUGCUGUUUUUCAAACUUCUAUCUUUAUGCGUAAAAUUUAUUCUUCAAAAGAAAUCAUAUCUGGAAAUCAAAAAAAGAAACCCAGAAAUUUAGGGCUAUUCUUGUGAAGAUAGACAAGGAGGAUGCCUUUAGAAAAGGAGGAUGCCUUUCCUUAGAAGGUCUUGACAUUUUUUGAUUGUCAGUCUCCCCCCCUUAAUUGGAAGUAUGUAGAUUUUACUAAAAUUUUAGAACCUUAUGCUAAGCCUCAAAAAAAAAAAAAAUCACUGUAAGUCUUAGCAGAGAAGUAUAAUUUCAUCUCCUAUCCCAUAUGUAACAUGAUUUACAUAAAACAUUUGUUUUUUAAUAGAAAGAUUCUAAUUCAAAUCUCAUGAAGAGGAUUUAAGUGCGAUGUACGUACUUACGUCUUGCCCUAUGAAAUCACCAAAUACCAAAUGGGGAAAAGGUUGACAGCCUUGGAACUUUGUUGAGUUCCUUUUCAAAUAUUAAAUCUUUGCAGCAAUUAUUAAUAUUAUGACAACAAUAAUAUUUAGGGGCAGAAGACUAAUUAAAAGCAGAGGGCAUUCUUUUGGUAUUUGCCAGUGGUUCACAUGACAUUUAAUUCUCAAAAGACUCCAAUACAAAUGAGAAAACCAAGACUCAGGUUAUAUGACACUCCGAUUCUCAUACAUCUAGUAAAUUUUGGAUGAAAAGAGGAUUCAAAUCCUAGAUAUUCUAAAUGGGGUGCUCGUCAUAGGAUAAUGCUCCUCUUACAGAAGAGACAAAAACUGAGCCACGUGUUACUGGAAUAUCUCAUUUAUGCCAAG